rnacentral:rRNA from 1 species
UACAGAGGGUGCAAGCGUUAAUCGGAUUUACUGGGCGUAAAGCGUGUGUAGGUGGUCGCGUAAGUCGGUUGUGAAAUCCCUGGGCUUAACCUGGGAAUUGCAGUCGAUACUGCGUGACUAGAGUUCGGUAGAGGGCGACGGAAUUCCCGGUGUAGCGGUGAAAUGCGUAGAUAUCGGGAGGAACAUCGAUGGCGAAGGCAAUCGCCUGGGCCUGAACUGACACUGAGACACGAAAGCGUGGGUAGCAAACAGG